GCCAUGGGUAUAUCUGUUCAUCUCUACUGUCCUUAAUUGUUUUUUGUUCUUUUUUUUUUGUUUCAUCUUUCAUUUGUUUGGUAUGACUUUUUGCAGCUAAGAUCAAGAUCGGCAUCAAUGGUUUUGGUAGGAUUGGGCGAUUGGUCGCCAGAGUCGCGCUCCAGAGUGAGGAUGUGGAACUUGUUGCCAUCAAUGAUCCAUUCAUUACCACCGAUUACAUGACAUACAUGUUUAAAUAUGAUACUGUACAUGGGCAAUGGAAGCAUCACGAGAUAAAAGUGAAGGAUUCCAAGACCCUUCUUUGGGAGAGAAAGAGGUUACUGUCUUUGGCAUCAGGAAUCCUGAGGAGAUUCCUUGGGGUGAGACUGGAGCUGACUUCGUUGUGGAGUCUACUGGUGUCUUU